rnacentral:rRNA from 1 species
UACGUAGGGGGCAAGCGUUGUCCGGAUUUAUUGGGCGUAAAGAGCGUGUAGGCGGCCAUACAGGUCCGUUGUGAAAACUCGAGGCUUAACCUCGAGACGUCGAUGGAAACCGUAUGGCUAGAGUCCGGAAGAGGAGAGUGGAAUUCCUGGUGUAGCGGUGAAAUGCGCAGAUAUCAGGAAGAACACCCGUGGCGAAGGCGGCCCCCUGGUUGGAUACUGACGCUGAUACGCGAAAGCGUGGGGAGCAAACAGG